GCCAGCAUGGCAUAGUGGUUUGAGCACUGGACUAUGACUCUGGAGACCAGGGUUCAAUUCCCUGCUCAGCUA
rnacentral:tRNA from 1 species